rnacentral:misc_RNA from 1 species
UCUCCGUUGGUGAACCAGCGGAGGGAUCAUUACAGAGUUAUCCAACUCCCAAACCCAUGUGAACUUAUCUCUUUGUUGCCUCGGCGCAAGCUACCCGGGACCUCGCGCCCCGGGGGGCCCGCCGGCGGCCCCACCAAACUCUUGUUUUUAGUGUCUCUUCUGAGUUAAACAAACAAAUGAAUCAAAACUUUCAACAACGGAUCUCUUGGUUCUGGCAUCGAUGAAGAACGCAGC